GGGCCCGCACAAGCGGUGGAGCAUGUGGUUUAAUUCGAUGCAACGCGAAAAAACCUUACCAGGCCUUGACAUCCAGAGAACUUACCAGAGAUGGUUCGGUGCCUUCGGGAACUCUGUGACAGGUGUUGCAUGGCUGUCGUCAGCUCGUGUCGUGAGAUGUUGGGUUAAGUCCCGUAACGAGCGCAACCCUUAUCCUUACUUGCCAGCACGUAAUGGUGGGAACUUUAAGAGACUGCCGUGACAAACCGGAGGAAGGAGAGGAUGAUGUCAAGUCAUCAUGCCCUUACGGCUGGCUACACACGUGCUACAAUGGGAAGUACAAAGGUCGCAAUACCGCGAGUGGAGCA
rnacentral:rRNA from 1 species